AGUGAACGCUGGCGGUAGGCCUAUCACAUGCAAGUCGAACGGCAGCACAGUAAGAGCUUGCUCUUACGGGUGGCGAGUGGCGGACGGGUGAGGAAUACAUCGGAAUCUACUUUUUCGUGGGGGAUAACGUAGGGAAACUUACGCUAAUACCGCAUACGACCUACGGGUGAAAGCAGGGGAUCUUCGGACCUUGCGCGAUUGAAUGAGCCGAUGUCGGAUUAGCUAGUUGGCGGGGUAAAGGCCCACCAAGGCGACGAUCCGUAGCUGGUCUGAGAGGAUGAUCAGCCACACUGGAACUGAGACACGGUCCAGACUCCUACGGGAGGCAGCAGUGGGGAAUAUUGGACAAUGGGCGCAAGCCUGAUCCAGCCAUACCGCGUGGGUGAAGAAGGCCUUCGGGUUGUAAAGCCCUUUUGUUGGGAAAGAAAAGCAGCAGGUUAAUACCCCGCUGCUCUGACGGUACCCAAAGAAUAAGCACCGGCUAACUUCGUG
rnacentral:rRNA from 1 species